GGGGGGGGGGGGCGGGGGGGGGGGGGCGGGGGGGUGGGACGAGGGGCGCCGGAGGCGUGCGGCUAUCAAGCUUCGUGGGGAACGGGUGGGUAACGCGUAAUCCACCUGCCCUUCAGAGGGGGACAACAGGUGGGAACGACUGCUAAUACCGCAUCCGAUCGAAUCUCGGCAUCGAGGAGGGAUGAAAGGUGGCAUCUACAUGUAAGCUCUCACUGCAGUAGGGGUUGGAGUCUGAGUAGCUAGUUGGAGGCGUAAAGGCCCCACCAGGCGAUGAUCAGUAGCCGGUCUGAGAGGAUGAACGGCCACAUUGGGACUGGGACACGGCCCAGACUCCUACGGGAGGCAGCAGUGGGGAAUCUUCCGCAAUGGACGAAAGUCUGACGGAGCAACGCCGCGUGAGUGAUGACGGCCUUCGGGUUGUAAAGCUCUGUUAAUCGGGACGAAAGGCCUUCUUGCGAAUAGUGAGAAGGAUUGACGGUACCGGAAUAGAAAGCCACGGCUAACUACGUG
rnacentral:rRNA from 1 species